GAUGAACGUUGGCGGCGUGCCUAAUACAUGCAAGUCGAGCGAACAGACGAGGAGCUUACUCCUCUGACGUUAGCGGUGGACGGGUGAGUAACACGUGGAUAACCUACCUAUAAGACUGGGAUAACUUCGGGAAACCGGAGCUAAUACCGGAUAACAUGUUGAACCGCAUGGUUCAACAGUGAAAGACGGUCUUGCUGUCACUUAUAGAUGGAUCCGCGUCGCAUUAGCUAGUUGGUAAGGUAACGGCUUACCAAGGCAACGAUGCGUAGCCGACCUGAGAGGGUGAUCGGCCACACUGGAACUGAGACACGGUCCAGACUCCUACGGGAGGCAGCAGUAGGGAAUCUUCCGCAAUGGGCGAAAGCCUGACGGAGCAACGCCGCGUGAGUGAAGAAGGUCUUCGGAUCGUAAAACUCUGUUAUUAGGGAAGAACAAAUGUGUAAGUAACUAUGCACGUCUUGACGGUACCUAAUCAGAAAGCCACGGCUAACUACGUGCCAGCAGCCGCGGUAAUACGUAGGUGGCAAGCGUUAUCCGGAAUUAUUGGGCGUAAAGCGCGCGUAGGCGGUUUUUUAAGUCUGAUGUGAAAGCCCACGGCUCAACCGUGGAGGGUCAUUGGAAACUGGAAAACUUGAGUGCAGAAGAGGAAAGUGGAAUUCCAUGUGUAGCGGUGAAAUGCGCAGAGAUAUGGAGGAACACCAGUGGCGAAGGCGACUUUCUGGUCUGUAACUGACGCUGAUGUGCGAAAGCGUGGGGAUCAAACAGGAUUAGAUACCCUGGUAGUCCACGCCGUAAACGAUGAGUGCUAAGUGUUAGGGGGUUUCCGCCCCUUAGUGCUGCAGCUAACGCAUUAAGCACUCCGCCUGGGGAGUACGACCGCAAGGUUGAAACUCAAAGGAAUUGACGGGGACCCGCACAAGCGGUGGAGCAUGCGGUUUAAUUCGAAGCAACGCGAAGAACCUUACCAAAUCUUGACAUCCUCUGACCUCUCUAGAGAUAGAGUUUUCCCCUUCGGGGGACAGAGUGACAGGUGGUGCAUGGUUGUCGUCAGCUCGUGUCGUGAGAUGUUGGGUUAAGUCCCGCAACGAGCGCAACCCUUAAGCUUAGUUGCCAUCAUUAAGUUGGGCACUCUAAGUUGACUGCCGGUGACAAACCGGAGGAAGGUGGGGAUGACGUCAAAUCAUCAUGCCCCUUAUGAUUUGGGCUACACACGUGCUACAAUGGACAAUACAAAGGGUAGCGAAACCGCGAGGUCAAGCAAAUCCCAUAAAGUUGUUCUCAGUUCGGAUUGUAGUCUGCAACUCGACUACAUGAAGCUGGAAUCGCUAGUAAUCGUAGAUCAGCAUGCUACGGUGAAUACGUUCCCGGGUCU
rnacentral:rRNA from 1 species